rnacentral:rRNA from 1 species
AGUGAACGCUGGCGGUAGGCCUAACACAUGCAAGUCGAACGGCAGCACAGUAAGAGCUUGCUCUUACGGGUGGCGAGUGGCGGACGGGGGAGGAAUACAUCGGAAUCUACUUUUUCGUGGGGGAUAACGUAGGGAAACUUACGCUAAUACCGCAUACGACCUACGGGUGAAAGCAGGGGAUCUUCGGACCUUGCGCGAUUGAAUGAGCCGAUGUCGGAUUAGCUAGUUGGCGGGGUAAAGGCCCACCAAGGCGACGAUCCGUAGCUGGUCUGAGAGGAUGAUCAGCCACACUGGAACUGAGACGCGGUCCAGACUCCUACGGGAGGCAGCAGUGGGGAAUAUUGGACAAUGGGCGCAAGCCUGAUCCAGCCAUACCGCGUGGGUGAAGAAGGCCUUCGGGUUGUAAAGCCCUUUUGUUGGGAAAGAAAAGCAGCAGGUUAAUACCCCGCUGUUCUGACGGUACCCAAAGAAUAAGCACCGGCUAACUUCGUG